GACGAACGCUGGCGGCGUGCUUAACACAUGCAAGUCGAGCGGUAAGGCCCUUUCGGGGGUACGACGAGCGGCGAACGGGUGAGUAACACGUGGGUGACCUGCCCUCAGCUCUGGGAUAAGCCUGGGAAACCGGGUCUAAUACUGGAUAUGACUCCAUGACGCAUGUUGUGGGGUGGAAAGCCUUGUGCGGCUGAGGAUGGGCCCGCGGCCUAUCAGCUUGUUGGUGGGGUGANGGCCUACCAAGGCGACGACGGGUAGCCGGCCUGAGAGGGCGACCGGCCACACUGGGACUGAGACACGGCCCAGACUCCUACGGGAGGCAGCAGUGGGGAAUCUUGCGCAAUGGGCGAAAGCCUGACGCAGCGACGCCGCGUGAGGGAUGACGGCCUC
rnacentral:rRNA from 1 species